rnacentral:rRNA from 1 species
UACUCCUACGGGAGGCAGCAGUGGGGAAUAUUGCGCAAUGGGGGGAACCCUGACGCAGCCAUGCCGCGUGAAUGAAGAAGGCCUUCGGGUUGUAAAGUUCUUUCGGUAUUGAGGAAGGUUGAUGUGUUAAUAGCACAUCAAAUUGACGUUAAAUACAGAAGAAGCACCGGCUAACUCCGUGCCAGCAGCCGCGGUAAUACGGAGGGUGCGAGCGUUAAUCGGAAUAACUGGGCGUAAAGGGCGCGCAGGCGGUUAUUUAAGUGAGGUGUGAAAGCCCUGGGCUUAACCUAGGAAUUGCAUUUCAGACUGGGUAACUAGAGUACUUUAGGGAGGGGUAGAAUUCCACGUGUAGCGGUGAAAUGCGUAGAGAUGUGGAGGAAUACCGAAGGCGAAGGCAGCCCCUUGGGAAUGUACUGACGCUCAUGUGCGAAAGCGUGGGGAGCAAACAGGAUUAGAUACCCUGGUAGUCCACGCUGUAAACGCUGUCGAUUUGGGGGUUGGGGUUUAACUCUGGCGCCCGUAGCUAACGUGAUAAAUCGACCGCCUGGGGAGUACGGCCGCAAGGUUAAAACUCAAAUGAAUUGACGGA